rnacentral:tRNA from 1 species
GGGGCUGUAACUCAAUGGUAGGGUACUUGCCUAGCAAGCAUGGGGCUCUGGGUUUGUCUCCUAGCACCA